AGAAUCAACGCUGGCGGCGUGCCUAACACAUGCAAGUCGCACGAGAAAGGGGAGCAAUCCCUGAGUAAAGUGGCGCACGGGUGAGUAACACGUGAAUAAUCUACCUCCGAGUGGGGAAUAACUGAGAGAAAUCUUAGCUAAUACCGCAUAACACUUACGAGUCAAAGCAGCAAUGCGCUUGGAGAGGAGUUCGCGGCCGAUUAGCUAGUUGGCGGGGUAAUGGCCCACCAAGGCGAUGAUCGGUAUCCGGCCUGAGAGGGCGCACGGACACACUGGAACUGAAACACGGUCCAGACUCCUACGGAGGCAGCAGUGGGGAAUUUUGCGCAAUGGGGGAAACCCUGACGCAGCAACGCCGCGUGGAGGAUGAAAUCCCUUGGGAUGGUAAACUCCUUUCGAUAGGGAAGAUAAUGACGGUACCUAUAGAAGAAGCCCGGCUAACUUCGCGCCAGCAGCCGC
rnacentral:rRNA from 1 species